GUGAAAACUAAAAAAAAAAAAAAAAAAAACCCAAAACCCUCUUUGAAGUCUUUUCACGUAACUGCUUAAUUGCUUCCCCUUGAUUGCUUGUGCUGCCGCCGUCGAGCCACCACCAUCGGCUGCUUCCUCCCUCGUCGCCCCUCUCCGUCGCCGCCGCACCACCGCUCACACCACCUACACUUUGCACCUAGCCGGACCGCUGAGCCACCGCCUUCGCCGCCGCCUCCGCGAGUCUCCUCGCCACCCGCACAACACCACCUUCGUCAGUCCAACCGACCGUCGCUGCCGCGCCGCCUGUGCUCCGCCGGCCAGCCACUCCCUUCUUGUUUUUGGUGGAGAAUUCUCUUUAGGCGACUUUUGAAAGUGUUAAAGUGGCCUAUUAGUUGUUUAUGCAAGUCUCUAAGGAUCAAUAAGCAUUGUCCAUCUGCAG